GACGAACGCUGGCGGCGUGCUUAACACAUGCAAGUCGAACGGAAAGGCCCUGCUUUUGUGGGGUGCUCGAGUGGCGAACGGGUGAGUAACACGUGAGUAACCUGACCUUGACUUUGGGAUAACUUCAGGAAACUGGGGCUAAUACCGGAUAGGAGCUCCUGCUGCAUGGUGGGGGUUGGAAAGUUUCGGCGGUUGGGGAUGGACUCGCGGCUUAUCAGCUUGUUGGUGGGGUAGUGGCUUACCAAGGCUUUGACGGGUAGCCGGCCUGAGAGGGUGACCGGCCACAGUGGGACUGAGAUACGGCCCAGACUCCUACGGGAGGCAGCAGUGGGGAAUAUUGCACAAUGGGCGGAGGCCUGAUGCAGCAACGCCGCGUGCGGGAUGACGGCCUUCGGGUUGUAAACCGCUUUCGCCUGUGACGAAGCGUGAGUGACGGUAAUGGGUAAAGAAGCACCGGCUAACUACGUG
rnacentral:rRNA from 1 species